UUGGGGGGUGGCCUAUACAUGCAAGUAGAACGCUGAAGAGAGGAGCUUGCUCUUCUUGGAUGAGUUGCGAACGGGUGAGUAACGCGUAGGUAACCUGCCUUGUAGCGGGGGAUAACUAUUGGAAACGAUAGCUAAUACCGCAUAACAAUGGAUGACACAUGUCAUUUAUUUGAAAGGGGCAAUUGCUCCACUACAAGAUGGACCUGCGUUGUAUUAGCUAGUAGGUGAGGUAACGGCUCACCUAGGCGACGAUACAUAGCCGACCUGAGAGGGUGAUCGGCCACACUGGGACUGAGACACGGCCCAGACUCCUACGGGAGGCAGCAGUAGGGAAUCUUCGGCAAUGGGGGCAACCCUGACCGAGCAACGCCGCGUGAGUGAAGAAGGUUUUCGGAUCGUAAAGCUCUGUUGUAAGUCAAGAACGAGUGUGAGAGUGGAAAGUUCACACUGUGACGGUAGCUUACCAGAAAGGGACGGCUAACUACGUGCCAGCAGCCGCGGUAAUACGUAGGUCCCGAGCGUUGUCCGGAUUUAUUGGGCGUAAAGCGAGCGCAGGCGGUUUGAUAAGUCUGAAGUUAAAGGCUGUGGCUCAACCAUAGUUCGCUUUGGAAACUGUCAAACUUGAGUGCAGAAGGGGAGAGUGGAAUUCCAUGUGUAGCGGUGAAAUGCGUAGAUAUAUGGAGGAACACCGGUGGCGAAAGCGGCUCUCUGGUCUGUAACUGACGCUGAGGCUCGAAAGCGUGGGGAGCGAACAGGAUUAGAUACCCUGGUAGUCCACGCCGUAAACGAUGAGUGCUAGGUGUUGGAUCCUUUCCGGGAUUCAGUGCCGCAGCUAACGCAUUAAGCACUCCGCCUGGGGAGUACGACCGCAAGGUUGAAACUCAAAGGAAUUGACGGGGGCCCGCACAAGCGGUGGAGCAUGUGGUUUAAUUCGAAGCAACGCGAAGAACCUUACCAGGUCUUGACAUCCCGAUGCUAUUUCUAGAGAUAGAAAGUUACUUCGGUACAUCGGUGACAGGUGGUGCAUGGUUGUCGUCAGCUCGUGUCGUGAGAUGUUGGGUUAAGUCCCGCAACGAGCGCAACCCCUAUUGUUAGUUGCCAUCAUUCAGUUGGGCACUCUAGCGAGACUGCCGGUAAUAAACCGGAGGAAGGUGGGGAUGACGUCAAAUCAUCAUGCCCCUUAUGACCUGGGCUACACACGUGCUACAAUGGUUGGUACAACGAGUUGCGAGUCGGUGACGGCAAGCUAAUCUCUUAAAGCCAAUCUCAGUUCGGAUUGUAGGCUGCAACUCGCCUACAUGAAGUCGGAAUCGCUAGUAAUCGCGGAUCAGCACGCCGCGGUGAAUACGUUCCCGGGCCUUGUACACACCGCCCGUCACACCACGAGAGUUUGUAACACCCGAAGUCGGUGAGGUAACCUUUUGGAGCCAGCCGCCUAAGGUGGGAAAGGU
rnacentral:rRNA from 1 species